rnacentral:rRNA from 1 species
GACGUAGGUGGCGAACGUUAUCCGGAAUUAUUGGGCGUAAAGGGUGCGUAGGCGGCCUAUUAAGUCAGGGGUGAAAGACGGUAGCUUAACUAUCGCAGUGCCCUUGAUACUGAUGGGCUUGAAUAUACUAGAGGUAGGCGGAAUGUGACAAGUAGCGGUGAAAUGCAUAGAUAUGUCACAGAACACCAAUUGCGAAGGCAGCUUACUAUGGUAUUAUUGACGCUGAGGCACGAAAGCGUGGGGAUCAAACAGG